AUAUGAUUACAAGGUGAUGGGAGGUUCAAGUUCAAUCUUCUUGCAAGGGAAGGAGAGGGCUGGAAAUUCUGAGACAUUGAGUCUAAAGCUAGGAAGUGACAUUAUUUUGACUGAAAGGGUUCAAUCCUGCGGUGGUAUUUGGAGUGACAACAGCUCUUUGAAAAUGGGAAGAAGACGCCCCUUCAUACUUGCAGGAUCUCUCAUUAUCUCUGUUGCCAUAAGUCAAUCAUUGCAAUUCUAGAGCUGCGUGCUAGGUGGGGGAACAGGAACUCAGCUAGCUUUCAUGAAUUUUGUUUUUUGGGGAAUUGCAGGUGAUGUAAAAAACUAGUGUUAGUGUAGUCUAUCUCAAAUACUAAAUAUUUAUUCAUGGUUGAUAUCCAAU